AGCCAUUCUUGUUCACAUGUAGAGGUAAUUCAUUGUAGUGGUUUUAAAAAUAUAUCCACAAAUUUUUUGAAACUUCUCCAUUAAAGAGGUGGAGAUUUAUUCUCUACCCUUUAAGUGUAGACUGUACUUAGUGAUUUGCAUCUAACAAAUAGAAUAAAGCAGUGGGAGAGACAGAGAGAGAGAGGGAGAGAGAGAGAGAGAAGAGAGAGAGAGAGAGAGAGAGAGAGAGAGAGAGAGAGAGUGUGUGAGUGUGUGUAUGUUUUCUCCAAAACUAGGUCCUAGCCAUUGGGACUUCCUCAUUACACUCUGUCUUAGAUUACUUAAUCUUGGAGGAAGGAAGCUGCAAUUUGUGAGUAUCUAUUUGGAGAGGCCUGAGUGGCAAACACUUGAAGUCUCACACCAACAACCAACCAAGAAACUAGGACUGCUAACAACUGCAUGAGUGAGUGGGAAGCUCAUGAAAUGACUGUAACUGGCUGACAGUUUGAUUGCAACCCAAAAUGACCCAGCUCACCACCAUAUGUGAUGGUUGUCAUGAGAAGAGAGUAUUUCCUUGAAGGAUAUGGUUGAUGGUGAUGUCUUCUAAUGGUAGGUCCAUGUGAUCAAGAAUGAACAAUCCAAUAUAUCUAGUUCAUUUGAGUUUUCACAUACUGGGUUUCUUGAAGAUGGGAACAGAUAGCACUGGGUCACCUCAUUAGCGACACAAAAUCUACAAGACCUACAUUGCUUUGUUUGGCCAGUACCAAGGCAGAGACUUAGCUGCUGUUGGCAGAAAGAAAGAAAACAGAGGCAUGGAGAACUUGUCACACAUCUAUUUGGUGUUUUUUGUUUGUUUGUUUGUUUUGUUUUGUUUGAAAUGGAGUCUCAGUCUGUUGCCCAGGCUGGAAUGCAGGGGCAUGAUCUUGGCUCACUACAACCUCCGCCUCCUGGGUUCAAACAAUUCUCCUGCCUCAGCCUCCUGAGUAGCUGAGAUUACAGGUGUGUGCCACCACACCCGGCUAAUUUUUGUAUUUUUACUAGAGACGGGGUUUCACCAUGUUAGCCAGGCUGGUCUCAAACUCCUGACCUUGUGAUCCGCCUGCCUCAGGCUCCCAAAGUGCUGGUAUUAGAGGUAUGAGCCACUGUGCCUGGCCUACUUGGUCUUAUUAACUCCUCUCUCAGUGAAAGUAUUCUAAAUGCUUCUUUCUUCCUGUGAAUUCAUAAAUUUAGACAUUUGCAAGAUUGGAAGCACUGGUCUCUGGAUUCUAACUGCAGUUAUUAUAUUUUUACAAAUGUCUCUGCUAAACCUUUAAAACCUUUAAAAUUUUAUCUUUCAUUUGAUCCUUAUUUUUUUGUGCAAGGUGCUCAAAUGAACAUGAGCUUGGGGCAAAAUAUGCUCUGUCCCCUGGGGGUUCUUAAAAUUACACCUGUAAUUUCUCUACACUGAUCCCUGCCAAAUCUGCCCAUAUCUUAUUCAGCUACCCAAUACAACUAUCAGAGACUUAGCGGUAUGUCUCUUUUUUAAUUUAUAUAUGUUUUUAUCUUUAAACAAAUUUAAUGGAUUUGGAUCUGAUAACUGUUUGUGAACAUCCUGUACAUUCAUUCUUUUAAUUAUAAUUUGGUUAUUAUUAUACUGUAAAAUAAAGACCUAUCCGUUACUCAUCCCAAUCUUCAUCCAUUAGGGCUGCUAUAACAAAAUGUUGUAGAUGUUUUGUUUACAAAUGGGUAGUUUAUAAAUUUAUUUGUCACAGUUCUAGAAGCUGGAAAGUCCAAAACCAAGGCUCUGGCAGAUUUGGUGUCUAGAGAGGGCUUGUUUCUUGGUUCAUAAAAGGCUAUUUCCUCACAUGGUGGAAGGAAUGAGCUAGCACUCUGGAGUCUCUUUUACAGGAGCACUAUUUCCAGUCAAUAGAAGACCACCCUCAUGACCUAAUCAUGUCCCAAAGUCCAACCUCCUAAUAAUAUCACCUUGAGGGUGAGAAUUUCAACAUAUGAAUUUGAGGGGUGGAUAUAACCAUUCAGACCCUAGCACCCUCCUCACCGCUGCCUCCCAAUUUUAAAUGCUUUUUUACUCAAGAUUCAGACUGUUUUUCCAAGGCAAACUUCGUUUGUGUUCCUGAUUUAUCCAACUUGCUCCUUUUUGUCCAGGACUAAAUCAGAACCUCAGGGAACAGUAGGAUGCUUCAGGUCCAUAUCAUACUGACUAUCCUUACUUUCUAUCUUUCAUCUUUAUUAACUCCUAUUCCUUUCAAUUUCCUGAAUUAAGAAUUUAUCCCUCUUAGGUCCUCACCUCUCCCAUUUUUCCCAUAAUAAGAAAUCACUCCCAACUGCAAAUAACAAGUUAGGUUCAAUUGAUUCUACCUUGUGUCUGAGACUUUUUUUUUUUUAUUUUGCAGCCUCAGGCAUCUGCUAAACAUCAUUUGCUUUUAUUAUCUGUGUAGUUUCUGAUGGCUCAGCAAAGACAAGUAGGGAGAAAGAGGAUCAGGCAAAUAAAAGAAAAGGAAGGAGCUUCUACAAUAGACUAAGAUUUAUGUUCCCUCAAAAUAUCUGAAUUUAAAUAAAUAUACCUUGCCAGCACAAUUGCUAAUUUUGUUUCAGAUUAUUCCAUUCAAUCUAUUUGAGAGUUUUACAUUUAUUCUUGAGAUACUACCAUAACUGCAUAUUUUGUGAAUUGCAACCUUGUCCUGAUUAAGAAUUCAGUCAACCUCUCCUCCUUGGUUUGAGCUUACUACCAAGUACUUUCACAUCAACAAAUAAAGGAGGGUUAGAUGCAGAGAUAUAAAAGGCUUUUUGUAUUUUUUUAACACUACAGGUAAACAGUAAUCAAGGUUCUCCUACAUCAAUCAUAGCACUGCCAUCAUCACCUAUACCACUCCCACCCCCUAUUCAAAACAACAGACAGAAAUAUCUGGAGCAGUAUAUCCCAAAUCAGAAAUUAACUGAGAAAGCUGAGCAUCCUAAAUGUGGAUCUAGUAUGUCUUCUCUAUACUAUAGCUCCUUCAUUUCCCCCUCCUCCUUCCUUUUCAGAACCUGAUUGUAAUCUCUCCCCUUCCCCUGAAAACUGAACUACAGACACAGUGGCAUUUUUUGCUCAGCAAUACAGCUUGUGACUGUAGUUUGUGUGCAAAUAGGAAGUGUUUCUUCUGGCUCUUUGUUUUUUGAUGUCUUUUGCUAACAUUCUACCCAAGACAAACCACACAAUUUGCAGGGCCCAUAUAGUGAAAGUGCAAGGCUUCUUGUUCAAAAUGGUUAAGCUUGUUGAGAGGGAGAAGACAAGAAACCAAACUAAGUGCUAGAGCCUUUCCGAGGGCGGGGUUCUUUGUGGACCUCAAAGACCACACACCCUCAGCCUGAAUUCUGUCACCUUUCCUUUAAAGCUUUGUCCAUCUCUGCCCUUCUCUGCUUCCUCUUUCUCUCUCUGCUCUCACUUCUUGCUUCCUUUCUCUCUCCUCUCUUCUUUCUCUUUUGUAACUCAUUUUAGUGCCCUCUUCCUCCUCCUUAUCCAAUGUCAGAGAGUGAUAAUGAAGAUGAAAACAUUUUAUGAAUUCAGAAAUGUUUUGUAAUCUAAAAAAAAAAUAAAUAACGGUGACUAAUAUCACAGUAUUUUUCUUCUCUACAUCUAUUACCCUCUGAUUUCUUGUUCUUCACUGAUUUCUUAUCAAUGUAUGCGGUUUCCUUAGAGACUCUCCCUUUCAAUAGUGGCCUUCCUUUUCACUCUCCCUAUGACUAUCUUUUUCCAAAGGACUUUUGUCACAGGGGACCCAUAGUAUGUAAAUAAAGAAUGGAAAUAACGGAAGAAUGACAGGAUUGACAAUGUUAUCUUUUUAUCUUUCCUUGGAAGUUUAGAUGUGUAGCAAUACUUCGGUAUAUAUAGUCUAUGCACAUCAUAUAAAGGCAACAUUUCAAAUGUCAACAAAAUCAAUAUAAGUACAAACUGAGCUCUCUUCUGAAAAAUAAAUGAAAUCUAUGUGGAAUUGAUUCUGAUAUUUUGCAUCUACAGCUCCUAAAACCGUGAUGUCACGUCUUUCCCAGCAACUGCUUGCUAUGCACAUAAUACACCAAAAAGGGAAUUUAAAUUGGUUUCAUUAAAAUAUACUCUUCUGACUCAGGUCCCAGACCAAUUAUAUCUGCAUGAAUAUAUGAGGUUCCUGGAAGCCAAGAAAAGAAAGUAUUUGUGUUUGGUAUUUAUUUGUAUUUAUAUAUGCAAGGCUGUAUAGUUUAAGAACCCAGCUUUCAGAAAGAAAUCCAGGUACAAAUAAAUUUUAAAAACAGACAAAAGCCUUUUGAUGUAUUAUUGCACAGAUAGUACUUUACUACACAAGUGGCAUGUAACAUGUCUUGUACUAGGUUAUGCGUGCAUUUUAAUAAUUCCUUUAGAGCCACAGUGUGUCUGGAAUUGGUUCCUUCCGGUGGGUUCUUGGUCGGGCUGAUUUCAAGAAUGUAGCCGCGGACCUUCCCGGUGAGUGUUACAACUCUUAAACAUGGUGUGCCCGGAGUUUGUUCCUUCAGAUGUGUCCAGAGUUUCCUCCUUCUGGUGGGUUCCUGGUCUCCUUGACUUCGGAACAAAGCCGCCGGACCCUCACGGUGAGUGUUACAGCUCUUAAAGAUAGUGUGUCCGGAGUUUGUACCUUCGGAUGUUCAGAUGUGUCCGGAGUUUCUGCCUUCUGGUGGGUUCAUGGUCUUCGCUGAUUUCAGGAGUGAAGCCACAGACCUUCCCAGUGAGCGUCACAGCUCUUAAAGGUGGCGCGUCCGGAGUCAUUUGCUCCUCCCAGAGGGUUUGUGGUCUCACUGACUUCAGGAAUGAAAGUGCAAAUCUCACGGUUAGUGUUCCAGCUCAUAAAGGUAGUGCAAACCCAAAAAGUCAGCAGCAGUAAGAUUUAUUGUGAAGAAUGAAAGAACAAAGCUUACACAGCCUGGAAGUGGACCUGAUCCGGUUGCCGCUGCCAGCUGUGGGGAUGGCCAGCUUUUAUUCCCUUAUUUGGCCCCACCCACAUCCUGCUGAUUGGUCCAUUUUACAGAGUGCUGAUUGGUGCGUUUUUACAGAGUGCUGACUGGUGUGUUUACAAUCCUUUAGCUAGACACAGAGUGCUGAUUGGUGCAUUUACAAUCCUUUAGCUAGACACAAAAGUUCUCCAAGUCCCCACCGACCCAGAAGCCCAGCUGGCUUCACCUCUCAAUAACAGACUAGUGCAAAAGGAACAGACAUCUUUACCCACUGGCCACUAUCUGAUAACUAGGUUAUGCCUGCAUUUUAAUAAUUCCUUUAGAGCCAUAGCACACUAGUGCGAAGGGAACAGAAAUCUUUACCCACUGGCCACUGUAAUGAUUCAAGAGAGUCUGAAACUCAAGUGUAAGAUUUCAACUUCUGAGGUGUAAACCUCCUAUUUAAGAAUUUCAAUCAAGUCAUAAUCAUUGAUUAUGACUCUGGGAGAUCCCACCAGAAAGAAGCCUGGCAUUUGAGCUCCAAUAAGGCACUCAGAUUAAUUCCAAACGGGGUGGGGUUUACUCAUGCAGACUGAUAAGAAUAAGCACUAAGGCUCCCUGCCCAAAGAAAAAUACAGAUGUAGCCCCGGUUUUUCAAUGUCACCUUUGUAUUGACACAAAGCAUACAUGUAAUAAAGUGUACAAAUUGGAAGUUCAUACCUCAGUGAAUGCUCAUAAAUGCAUAUGCCUGGCUGGAUGUGGUGGCUCAUACCUGUAAUCCCAGCACUUUGGGAGGCUGAGGCAGGCAGAUCGCGAGGUCAGGAGUUCGAGACCAAUCUGGCCAAUAUGGUGAAACCCCAUCUCUACUAAAAAUACAAAGAAAAUUAGCCAGGCGUGGUGGCGUGCACCUGUAGUCCCAGCUACUCAGGAGGCUGAGGCAGAAGAAUGGCUUGAACCCAGGAUGCAGAGGUUGCAGUGAGCUGAGACAGCGCCACUGCACUCCAGGCUGGGUGACAGAGCAAGACUCCAUCUUAAAUAAAUAAAUGAAUAAAUGCAUUUGCCUAUGAAGCCGUCAUUCAACUUCAGUUGCAGAAAAAAGUUAACAUCCAGAAAAUUUCUUUGUGCACCACCAAGUCAAGAAUCCUCAUUCAGAGUGAACCAUUCUUCUCAUUUUUAUUAGCAUGACCUUUUUUCUUUCUAUUUUUGAAUUAAGUAUAAAUAAAUAAAUGGAAUGAUACAGAAUGUAUUUUCUUUGUGUCUGGCUGUUGUGCCCACCAUUAGACGAUAUAGUUACCUAUGUUAUGGUACAUAGCUGUACUUUGUUUUGAUUACUAUUUAAGGUCCCAGUACAAUAACAUAAUUAUUCAUUCACUGUACUGCUGAUGAAUCCUUGGGUUUUUUUCUCGUUUGGGGCUAUUGUAAAUAAAGUUGUCAUGGGCAUUAUUAUACAAAUCCUUUGUCUGGUUCUUAAAAUUUAAUGCUUAAUAUGUAUUUAUUAUUAAUGGAUUUCCUUUUGAUCUAUGCUUAGUAAAAGAAAUACUGAACAUUUCUUAUAUUUUUAGCAUUAACAGAUAGCUACUAACAAUUUUUCUAAGUGAUUAUACAAAUUGAUACACUUACCUUCAAAGUAUGGGUGUUCUAGCUGCUAUAAACACUAGCUUACUCUUGAUGUCAUUAGUCUUUUCAGUCAUGGUAUCUCACUGUGUUUUAAAUUUGCAUUUCAGAUGCAUAAUGAUGGUGAGUCUCUUCCUUACUGUCAUUGGUCAUUUGAAUUUCCUCUUUUGUAAAGUGGCUAUUCAAGCUUUUUACCAAUUUCUUUUUUUAAUUUUGUGUGUGUGUGUGACUUUUUAUUAUAGAUUUGUCAGAAUACUUUAUAUUUUAUGGAAAUGAGUCUUUGCCACUUAUUUGUAUCAUGAAUAUUGUCACUCACAAUGAUGUUUUUUGAUGAACAGAUGCUCACAAUUUUAAAGUACAUUUAUCCAUAUUUUAUGUGCCUUCUUCAAGAAAUUGUUGUCUAUUCUAAGCCGAGUUCACUAAGAUACUGUCUUAUAUAUAUUUAGAUACAUUGUUUUGCUGUCUCCCAGGCUGGAGUGAAAUGUUGUGAUCACGGUCCAAGGCAGCCUAAAAUUCCCCCUCAAGGGAUCCUCUUGCUUCAGCCUCCUGAAUAGCUGGAAUUACAGGCAUGAGCCACCUUGCCAGGUCUCACCCUGUUGCCCAGGCUGUAGUACAGUGGCACGAUCAUGGGUGACUGCAGACUCAAACUCCAGCUCACGCUAUCCUCCUGCUUCAGCAACCCGAUUAGAUGGGACUACAGGCAUGUGCCACCAGGCUGAGAGGUGACAGAGUGCUGGCAGCCCUCGCAGCCCUUGCUCACUCUCGGUGCCUCCUCAGUCUCAGCGCCCAUUCCGGCCGCGCUUGAGGAGCCGUUCAGCCUGCCGCUGCACUGUGGGAGCCCUUCUCUGGGCUGGCCAAGGCCAGAGCCAGCUCCCUCGGCUUGUGGGUCUGCAGCUUCAUUCCUGAAGGCAGUGAGACCACGAACCCACCAGGAGGACCAAACAACUCCAGACACGCCGCCUUAAGAGCUGUAAAACUCACUGCGAAGGUCGGCAGCUUCACUCCUGAGCCAGCAAGACCACGAACCCAACAGAAAGAAGAAACUCCGAACACAUCUGAACAUCAGAAGGAACAAACUCUGGACACACCACCUUUAAGAACUGUAACACUCAGCGCGAGGGUUCGCGGCUUCAUUCUUGAAGUCAGUGAGACCAAGAACCCACCAAUUCCGGACACAAUGCCUUGUUCAUUUUUUCUUUUUAUCUUUUGUAGAGACAGGAUGCACUUUUUUGCCCAACUGUGUCUCAAGCUCCUGACCGCAAGUGAUACUUCCACUUUGGCCUCCCAAAGUGUUUAGACUAUAUGCACAAGCCAUUGUGCUCAGCCUUAAGACAUUCCUAUAUUGCUACAACUGAAAAUUUUUUUUUCCUAUUCUAUGCUACUUCUUUAAUGCAAAAGGAUAUAUUAAUUUUUUAAAACUUUAUGGUAUAGUCCAAUAAAAUAGGUAAGGGGGAGGUCAAGGCUAGUUACUAUAGUCUGAUAAGAAGGUAUUUUAUUCUCAGCAGAAAAUUGUAUUUCUGGAGGAAAAAUGCUACACAACUUUGUUAAACAAAGAAUCUGUUCUCUCUCUCUUCUGAAAUGUUGAAGCAUGAUUUAAAGAAGUGACUGGGUCUCUCUUGAUUAGCUGGCACAGCAGCCAAUAGUUCUAAUCUGAUGACUACAAAUAAAAUUACUGCAAGAUUCAGUUUGUAUGAUUUUCAUGUUUUGAACUCCCCUUCCACAGCAGUUUGGUAUCUAGCAAAUGCAGUAGGCCUUUUAAUUUUUUUAAGUACAAGCAGCAGCUAUGUUACACAUGAGAAAAGAACUAUGUUGAUUUGAAACUCAUGGGCAGCAUCAGAAGCAGAGACAAGCUGUAUCUAAAGUGGACAAAAACAAUGGAAUAAAAAAGAGACUGGGCACGUGGCUCACGCCUGUAAUCCCAGUACUUUAGGAGGCGGAAGUGGGAGGAUUGCUUGAACUUGAGAGUUUGAGGCCAGCCUGGGCAACAUAACAAGGCGUUGUAUCCAUAAAAAUAAAAAAAAAAUUAGAUAAGUGUUGUGGUGCAUGCCUAUAGUCCCAGCUACUAGGGAGGCUGGGGUGGGAAAAUUCCUUGAGAGGUUGAGGUUGCAGUGAGACAUGAUCACACCAUAGCACUCCAGCCUGGGUGGCAGAGUAAGACCC
rnacentral:lncRNA from 10 species